UGUGAAUAAUGCGACGUCCUCAAAGCAGCAUAAACAAUUAAAGCAUCGCAUAAAGUGUCGAUUUGCCGAAGGAAAGAAUUCAGUUCAUUAAUUUCAUCGCUGGCAAAAUAACAAAAUGCCAUUAAUCAGCUAAUGGAUUGUAGAGCAACUCGCGCAUAAAUGUUGCAUAUUAACCUGUUCAAUCUGACAUCAUUCGCAACUCUGACUCGCUUAUUUAAAUCUGGGCCGGGUCAAAAGCGUUCGGAAAAACAGCUGAUAAGCCCUGGAAGAAAGGCAAGUGACCCCGUUGCUCUUUCUCCAGCAGCUCGGCGAAACUUUGUGCGCUGUGCAUCAUCAGCAGUUUAUGAAAUUGUUGCAGCUGCAACACGAAGAUGCCCCAAGGACCCAGGACUGAAAACCCAGUACCCAGCACCCAGUAGUCAGUAGUCAGUGGCCAGGAUCCAGGACGAAGGACCAAGGCAGUCAUGUUUAAAGUUGCCCACGCAGCUGCUGCAAGGCCUCGUAAAACAAUAAAAGCACACAACUUGGCCAAGGGGAAUCGAAUGCUAUGUUGCAUUCGCAAUCCUCGAGAAAUUCUGAACCAACUUGGAGGUAGACUGCAACUGCCGGGAGGGACAAUCAACAACGGUGGCCACAUGACGGCAAACAGAUUUACCAGUAUGCCACAAAACUUCCCGCAGCCCCAUUUCCCCUUUUUAUCAGCUGACUUUAGAAGUGAACUUAUAAACUAAAUAGUUGAAUAAACAACGUCACAUUUUGGCAUAUUACUUUUACAUAAC